rnacentral:tRNA from 1 species
GGGGCUGUGGCUCAGUGGUAGAGCGCUCGCCUAGCAAGUGCGAGGCCUUGGGUUCGAUCCUCAGUGCCA